UGGGGAAUAUUGGACAAUGGGCGAAAGCCUGAUCCAGCCAUGCCGCGUGUGUGAAGAAGGUCUUCGGAUUGUAAAGCACUUUAAGUUGGGAGGAAGGGCAGUAAGCGAAUACCUUGCUGUUUUGACGUUACCGACAGAAUAAGCACCGGCUAACUCUGUGCCAGCAGCCGCGGUAAUACAGAGGGUGCAAGCGUUAAUCGGAAUUACUGGGCGUAAAGCGCGCGUAGGUGGUUCGUUAAGUUGAAUGUGAAAGCCACGGGCUCAACCUGGGAACUGCAUCCAAAACUGGCGGGCUAGAGUAGGGCAGAGGGUGGUGGAAUUUCCUGUGUAGCGGUGAAAUGCGUAGAUAUAGGAAGGAACACCAGUGGCGAAGGCGACCACCUGGGCUCAUACUGACACUGAGGUGCGAAAGCGUGGGGAGCAAACAGG
rnacentral:rRNA from 1 species